AUUUUUCUCUCCCAGCGGCGUCUACUUCCGGGUCAGAGCUCAGACCUAGGGUGUAGAGAACAACCUUCCGUAACAGGCAGGAAUAGUCGAAAUAGGAUAGCAUCGUCUUUCUUAAAGUGACAGGCUCAAAGCAAUUGGGGAAGCCCUAUCCAGAAGUUGUGAGGGCGACUCAGCUAUUCUGAAUCCAAUCCUGGGCAAAGUUCUGGACAAGUCUCACGUUUCUGCCAAUGAGGAAGGGAUAUGAAGAAGCAGAUUGUUUCCCAGGUGAGGAGAAGAGGAGAGCCUUAGACAAUCCACUCCAAGAGCCUGAGGUGCAGCCAGUUCCGUCUGUCCUCCAGUCUUCCCCACCCCAUCCUACUAGCUCUGCGAGGCAGAGCUUUCUCGUCCUCAUAUCAUAUAUGAAAAGAAUGGCCGGGCGCGGUGGCUCACGCCUGUAAUCCCAGCACUUGGGGAGGCCGAGGCGGGCGGAUCACGAGGUCCGGGGUUUGAGACCAGCAUGGCCAACAUGGUGAAACCCGUCUCUACUAAAAAUACAAAAAUUAGCCGGCCGUGGUGCCACGCGCCGGUAGUCCCAGCUACUCGGGAGGCUGAGGCAGGAGAAUCGCUUGAACCCGGGAGGCGGAGGUUGCAGUGAGCUUAGACUGCGCCAUUGCAUACCAGCCUGGGCGACAGAGCAAGACUCCGUCUCAAAAAAAGAAAAAAGAAAAAAAAGAAAGAAAGAAAAUAAUGAGGCUCAGAAUCGAUGGAUCGCACAGUCCCACAACUUCGCAGCCAAGACCAGACUCGGGUUCACCCCCUUCCCAAGUGUGGUUCUGUAACCCCGUUUUGCUGACGCCGAUGCGGAUGCAGAGGGCAGAGAUGGCCCAUCCUUAGCAGAGACCAACCUCCACCCUAAGCAGCAGAGCACGCAGCUGGGGGCUUUUCUUUCUAGAUCUCAAAAGCCUGCUGUGAUGGGGGAUCUGGUUCUGCCGUUUCCCUCCUCUGCCUCUCCUGGCCCGCCUACCCGGGAACUCCCCGCCUGGAGCUUCUGGGAGGGGAGCGGUGCAGGCCGCCCGCGUCAUCUGAUGCUGUUUCCUGCAGGAGGGAGAAGAGCGGAAAAAAGUGAAACUCCACCCUCCACCUCUGCCUCCCGCCCCCGGGGCCAAAGUACAAAGGGAGGAGGAAGAAGGGAGCGGGGUCGGAGCCGUCGGGGCCAAAGGAGACGGGGCCAGGAACAGGCAGUCUCGCCCCAACUGCGGACGCUCCCUCCACCCCCUGCGCAAAAAGACCCAACCGGAGUUGACGCGCUGCCCCUGGAGGCCCCACCUUACACUUGGCGGGGCCGGAGCCGGGCUCCCAGGACUGCUCCAGAAGCGAGGGAAGCUCGGGUCCCUCCGAGCUAGCCAUGGUGAGGCGCCGGAGGCCCCGGGGCCCCACCCCCCCGGCUUGACCACACUGCCCUGGGUGCCCUCCUCCAGAAGCCCGAGAUGCGGGGGGCCAGGAGACGACACUCCUGGCUCCCCGGAGAGGCGUGGGUCUGGGGCUGAGGGCCAGGGCCCGGAUGCCCAGGUUCCGGGACUAGGGCCUCGGCAGCCAGCGGGGGUGGGGACCACGGGCACCCAGAGAAGGUCCUCCACACAUCCCAACGCCGGCUCCCGGGCAUGGAGCCCUUGAAGAGCCUCUUCCUCAAGAGCCCUCUAGGGUCAUGGAAUGGCAGUGGCAGCGGGGGUGGUGGGGGCGGUGGAGGAGGCCGGCCUGAGGGGUCUCCAAAGGCAGCAGGUUAUGCCAACCCGGUGUGGACAGCCCUGUUCGACUACGAGCCCAGUGGGCAGGAUGAGUUGGCCCUGAGGAAGGGUGACCGUGUGGAGGUGCUGUCCCGGGACGCAGCCAUCUCAGGAGAUGAGGGCUGGUGGGCAGGCCAGGUGGGUGGCCAGGUGGGCAUCUUCCCGUCCAACUAUGUGUCUCGGGGUGGCGGCCCGCCCCCCUGCGAGGUGGCCAGCUUCCAGGAGCUACGGCUGGAGGAGGUGAUCGGCAUUGGAGGCUUCGGCAAGGUGUACCGGGGCAGCUGGCGAGGCGAGCUGGUGGCUGUGAAGGCAGCUCGCCAGGACCCCGAUGAGGACAUCAGUGUGACAGCUGAGAGCGUUCGCCAGGAGGCCCGGCUCUUCGCCAUGCUGGCACACCCCAACAUCAUUGCCCUCAAGGCUGUGUGCCUGGAGGAGCCCAACCUGUGCCUGGUGAUGGAGUAUGCAGCCGGUGGGCCCCUCAGCCGAGCUCUGGCCGGGCGGCGCGUGCCUCCCCAUGUGCUAGUCAACUGGGCCGUGCAGAUUGCCCGUGGGAUGCACUACCUGCACUGCGAGGCCCUGGUGCCCGUCAUCCACCGCGAUCUCAAGUCCAACAACAUUUUGCUGCUGCAGCCCAUUGAGGGUGACGACAUGGAGCACAAGACCCUGAAGAUCACCGACUUUGGCCUGGCCCGAGAGUGGCACAAAACCACACAAAUGAGUGCCGCGGGCACCUAUGCCUGGAUGGCUCCUGAGGUUAUCAAGGCCUCCACCUUCUCUAAGGGCAGUGACGUCUGGAGGUGCGAACCUCGGUGGGGCUGGACAGGGGCUGCUACGGGGCUGCAGAAGGCAGAGGUGGCUGCCUAAGUCUAGGGCUGGGCCAAGUCCAGGGACAGGGACCCAAACCACUUGGCUCCUAGUUGCUUUUGGGUGAAGUGGCAGUAAGGGGGUGGGGGUUGGGAGAGAAAAGGGAAUACAGACCUGUUGUCUCGCCCACAGUUUUGGGGUGCUGCUGUGGGAACUGCUGACCGGGGAGGUGCCAUACCGUGGCAUUGACUGCCUUGCUGUGGCCUAUGGCGUAGCUGUUAACAAGCUCACACUGCCCAUCCCAUCCACCUGCCCCGAGCCCUUCGCACAGCUUAUGGCCGGUAAGAGGACGGGGAGGGCAGGUGAGGUGCAGAGCUCCCUGGCCCAGGACACGUCCACCCAUAGACCCCUUCUUAUUCUGUCCCCGCUGCACGCCGUGCCCCUAGACUGCUGGGCGCAGGACCCCCACCGCAGGCCCGACUUCGCCUCCAUCCUGCAGCAGUUGGAGGCGCUGGAGGCACAGGUCCUACGGGAAAUGCCGCGGGACUCCUUCCAUUCCAUGCAGGAAGGCUGGAAGCGCGAGAUCCAGGGUCUCUUCGACGAGCUGCGAGCCAAGGAAAAGGAACUACUGAGCCGCGAGGAGGAGCUGACGCGAGCGGCGCGCGAGCAGCGGUCACAGGCGGAGCAGCUGCGGCGGCGCGAGCACCUGCUGGCCCAGUGGGAGCUAGAGGUGUUCGAGCGCGAGCUGACGCUGCUGCUGCAGCAGGUAGACCGCGAGCGACCGCACGUGCGUCGCCGCCGCGGCACAUUCAAGCGCAGCAAGCUCCGGGCGCGCGACGGCGGCGAGCGCAUCAGCAUGCCACUCGACUUCAAGCACCGCAUCACCGUGCAGGCCUCACCCGGCCUUGACCGGAGGAGAAACGUCUUCGAGGUCGGGCCUGGGGAUUCGCCCACCUUCCCCCGGUUCCGGGCCAUCCAGUGUAAGAAACUUCGCCUCUCAUGCCCCUCUCCGCCCCCCAGCCCCAUAUUCUCUGUCAGACCUUAUACUUGGAGGUGGAUCCCACUCACUAUCCCCUCUCCCUCCCCGCCCCCAGGCUCCAUGCCCUAGGUCUAGCCUGUUACUUCUGAACUCCCCAAGCAGCAUUAAUUUUACUUAUUUUUUUUAGUCAAAUAAUUGUAUGAUACUAUGUACUACUAAUUUUCUAAAUGCUUUGCUAAUAUUAAUUUCGUGCAAU
rnacentral:sRNA from 1 species